GAAGGAGAAAGCUACGUUGGAGCUGCCUAGGCGAAGAUCCAAGAUCAUCCUGACAUCUAACAGGAAGAGGUGCCUGGAUGCUGAUAUGCAUUUCCAAAUUAAUGAAUGUCUGCGGAGCGCUGUGGGAUGCCCAGAUGAAAGGCAGUGGAGAAGCACAAAGUUGCUGGCUGACUUCUGAGGGAUGCGAGUGAGCGUCAAGUUCCAAAACCAGCCACAGAUUUGGACCCACCUUGGUUUUCAGGCAGCAGCUGGGCUGCAGGCUAAUGAGCUAACUUGUUCCAGACAGUGCUGCUAGCAAUUCCAUCCUGCCUGGCCACCGUAGGGAGGCUGGAGAGCAACACCACGGCUGGAAUUUUCAGCAGCCCAUCGAAUUCAUACUUGCAUGGCAGCCAUUUUUUCCUCUCCCCUCCCCAUUACAAGGCCAAACAAAGUAGCCCCACUGCAUUGUAACUUUUUUAAAAAAACAAAAAAAUCUGCUGUUGAUAAUCUGAUGAUAUUUAGUAGUAACAUGGUAACUUGCAUCUGAAAGAUUCUUUGGGUAAUACAUUACAUUUUUUUCUGUGUUGCAAGUAUAUUGCGGGGGGGAGGAAUUUGGAAAGCGGUGUGCAAGAUAACAUUUUGUGACAAUUAUCGCAAUGUCCCUAGUAGGCCAUCCUAAUCCACAUUUUAUGGAUGGUGAAUUAAGCGAAGGCAUGCUCCAGGCUGUCGUAACAAGUCAUGACUAACCUGUAAUUUGAGCCAAUAUUGUGCAGGUCUAUACCCAGUAUUUGCUGCAUGGUGCUGGAUGUCACUUAAAGAUGAGUAUCAUCUUGGCAUGUUACAACUCUGUU